rnacentral:rRNA from 1 species
ACCUCAAAGCUAGCCAAAAUAAAUUUAUUAAGUUCCCCAAUAUUAACUAACACACACAACCUCUGUCCUCUAAUUAAAACAUUUUUCCCUUCCUAGUAUGGGCGAUAGAACAGAAACCUUUGAGCCAUAGAAACAGUACCGCAAGGGAAAGCUGAAAAAGAAAUGAAAAAACCAUUAAAGUAAAAAGAAGCAGAGACCCGCCCUCGUACCUUUGCAUCAUGAUUUAGCAAGAACAACUAGGCUAAAAAGCUUUUCCUAGCCUAGCCUCCCGAAACUAAACGAGCUACUUCGGAGCAGCUUACCCAGAGCCAACCCACCUCUGUAGCAAAAGAGAGGGAAGACUCCCAAGUAGCGGUGAUAAGCCUACCGAGUUUAGUGAUAGCUGGUCAUCCAAAAAAAGAACUUAAAUUCUGCAUUAAUUUUUCAACCAGCAACUAAAAACCUUUUACUAAGCUCACUUGUAAAAAUUAAGAGUUAUUCAAAAAAGGUACAGCCUUUUUGAAUCAAGAAACAACUUUAUUAGGAGGGUAAUGAUUACAUUCUUAAAGGGUUUCUCCUCAGUGGGCCUAAAAGCAGCCACCUGUUAAGCAAGCGUCAUAGCUCAAGCCUCACCUGCCCCAACAAAUUCCCAUACUCAUUCUCAACCCCCUACCUCACUAUUGGAUUAUUUUAUUAACCUAAUUAUAAAAGAAAUUAUGCUAAAAUGAGUAAUGAGGGAAUAACCCCCUCCCCGACACCAGUGUAUGUCAGAAAGAAUUAAAUCACUGACAAUUAACCGAUGCCAUAGUUGAGGCUCUCAUGACAUAAACACUAAACACAAGAAAACCCCAUACAAAACCUCGUUAACCCUACACAGGAGUGUCCCCGGGAAAGAUUAAAAGAAAAUAAAGGAACUCGGCAAACACAAACUCCGCCUGUUUACCAAAAACAUCGCCUCUUGCCCCACUCAUGUAUAAGAGGUCCCGCCUGCCCUGUGAUUUUUUAACGGCCGCGGUAUUCUGACCGUGCGAAGGUAGCGUAAUCACUUGUCUUUUAAUUGAAGACCCGUAUGAAAGGCAUCACGAGAGUUUAUCUGUCUCUAUUUUCCAAUCAAUGAAAUUGAACCUCUCGUGCAGAAGCGAGAAUAAAAACAUAAGACGAGAAGACCCUAUGGAGCUUCAAACACUUAAGUUACUUUUAAAACAUAAAAUUCCUACCUUCGGGUAUAAACUAAAAACUAAUUUCUUAACUUAACCUGUUUUUGGUUGGGGCGACCAGGGGGAAAAACAAAACCCCCUUAUCGAAUGUGUUAAACACAAAAAUUAGGACUACAGUCCUAAUCAAUAGAAAAUCUAACGAACAAUGACCCAGGGCCCGAUCCCUGAUCAAUGAACCAAGUUACCCUAGGGAUAACAGCGCAAUCCUUUCUUAGAGCCCCCAUCGCCGAAAGGGUUUACGACCUCGAUGUUGGAUCAGGACAUCCUAAUGGUGUAGCCGCUAUUAAGGGCUCGUUUGUUCAACGAUUAACAGUCCUACGUGAUCUGAGUUCAGACCGGAGUAAUCCAGGUCAGUUUCUAUCUAUGAUGGUAUUUUCCCCAGUACGAAAGGACCGGGAAAAUGAAGCCUAUGCCCAAAGUACGCUUCCCCCCAACCUGCUGAAACCAACUCAAGCAGAUAAAGGCAGCCACCUUUAAACCAAAGAUAACGGUU